rnacentral:rRNA from 1 species
GACGAACGCUGGCGGCGUGCUUAACACAUGCAAGUCGAACGGGUCUGCCCUGUUUUUUGCGGGGUGGGUCAGUGGUGAACGGGGGAGUAACACGUGAGUAACCUGCCCCUCACUUCUGGAUAACCGCUUGAAAGGGUGGCUAAUACGGGGUGUUCUGGCUGUGCCGCAUGGUGUGGCUGGGAAAGAUUCACUUUUGUGGUGUUUUGGUGGGGGAUGGGCUCGCGGCCUAUCAGCUUGUUGGUGGGGUGAUGGCCUGCCAAGGCUUUGACGGGUAGCCGGCCUGGGAGGGUGGGCGGUCACACUGGGACUGAGAUACGGCCCAGACUCCUGCGGGAGGCAGCAGUGGGGGGUAUUGCACAAUGGGCGGAAGCCUGAUGCAGCGACGUCGCGUGAGGGAUGGAGGCCUUCGGGUUGUGAACCUCUUUCGCCGGUGAAGAAGGUCCUGCUCUUUGUGGUGGGGUUGACGGUAGCCGGGUUAUGAAGCGCCGGCUAACUACGUG